rnacentral:lncRNA from 1 species
GGCUAUGUGAUCUUGCUUUUGGUUUUCCUGAUCUCUUGUGUGCUCUAUGACUGUCGAGGGAAAGAUCCCAGUAAGGAGUGUAUUUUGGAGAUUCCCAUGGAAACCCAGGAGCCAAUCCAGUUGAUGGUGGUGCAGCACAAAUGCCCUAGUAUCCACUGGGCAAAAGGACUCGUCCCUGCUUACGAAAGUGUGUCUGGUGCAGCCACGAAAAAGACAACAUCAGUAUAAAAAAGACCUUUCCUUUCUCCAGAAUCCUAACUUUGCACGAUUCUCUCCUGUUUGCACAAGGAUAAGUGAGUCAGGUACAUCAGCCAGUUUUCUUCUUUCCAAACAAGAGAGGAGGAAUUUUACCUGUUUAAUAAACUUGGCUCCAUUUUUUCUUAUUUUAUGUUUCUGGAUUAAUGCCUCUCUUUUCAACUUGUGUCGGUUUUUCCAUAUUUUUACAGCAUUUGUCUGUGCUGAGCUAUGAAUAUUGCAAAAAGGUUGCCAGCUGUAUAUGUUGAAACUGUUUUCAAACUGUUUUCACGUAUAUAGAAAUUGCUGUCCCCAUUUAAAUAUUUCUUUUUUCCACUGAAUUUGUCCAUAUCUAUUUGAUAUUUAUUUCAACAUAUACAGCUGGCAACCUUCUAGAUCUUUGGACUAUAAUCUCCAACACCCCCAGCCUAAAAAAGAACUCUAUUUUUCCCCCCAAGCAUCCUUAACUAAAAUUUGAAGCUGUCAUACAACAGAUUCUUAUAGUGACAUUGGACUGGAGCUGUUUUUUCUAAAUAAUGCUGGGUCAGAAAGACAACAUUUGAGAAUGAUGUCUACUGUAUUUCACAAUAUGUGCCUGCACAAGGACACAAUUUCCCAAUCUAUCUUUUGCAGAUAUCAGGACUUCGGUCUCUCUGUCCAAAUUUAAAUAUAUGAAUUCAAAGGUCUGAAUUAGGACUGAAUACUGAAAUUCCAAAUGUUUAAUCUUUUGGAAGUGAGUAUUUAUGAAAUGUACUUUCUGCACGUUUCGAUGUCUUUCCAACAUUCUUUGGCAAAAUGUUCCAUCAGAACUUUUUCUGCAGAGUCUGAAAUUAAAUACUGUAUAGUACUAGAUGCACAGGAAUAAAGCAGGAUUAUGAGUAGUGUUCCUUCCA